UCUGCGUGAUUGAAGUCUGCAU
rnacentral:miRNA from 2 species